AGUGAACGCUGGCGGUAGGCCUAACACAUGCAAGUCGAACGGCAGCACAGUAAGAGCUUGCUCUUACGGGUGGCGAGUGGCGGACGGGUGAGGAAUACAUCGGAAUCUACUUUUUCGUGGGGGAUAACGUAGGGAAACUUACGCUAAUACCGCAUACGACCUACGGGUGAAAGCAGGGGAUCUUCGGACCUUGCGCGAUUGAAUGAGCCGAUGUCGGAUUAGCUAGUUGGCGGGGUAAAGGCCCACCAAGGCGACGAUCCGUAGCUGGUCUGAGAGGAUGAGCAGCCACACUGGAACUGAGACACGGUCCAGACUCCUACGGGAGUCAGCAGUGGGGAAUAUUGGACAAUGGGCGCAAGCCUGAUCCAGCCAUACCGCGUGGGUGAAGAAGGCCUUCGGGUUGUAAAGCCCUUUUGUUGGGAAAGAAAAGCAGCAGGUUAAUACCCCGCUGUUCUGACGGUACCCAAAGAAUAAGCACCGGCUAACUUCGUG
rnacentral:rRNA from 1 species